rnacentral:rRNA from 1 species
UACGUAGGGGGCAAGCGUUGUCCGGAUUUAUUGGGCGUAAAGAGCGUGUAGGCGGCCAUACAGGUCAGCUGUGAAAACUCGAGGCUCAACCUCGAGACGUCGGUUGAAACCGUAUGGCUAGAGUCCGGAAGAGGAGAGUGGAAUUCCCGGUGUAGCGGUGAAAUGCGUAGAUAUCACUUGGAACGCCAACGGUGAAGACAGCCUGCUGGGGGCCUGCUGACGCUGAGACACGAAAGCCAGGGGAGCGAACGGG